rnacentral:lncRNA from 1 species
CCUUCUUUCCAGCCAUCUCCCCUCCUCAGAACAGCCCUCGUCCCCUGAAAGGGCAGUCUGACUCAGCCCCAGCGGCCGCCCCGCCCCUCCUACAGGUCCUCCCUUUGCCCUUGAAAUGGAAGACAAGGCAGCAAGGAUCCGGCCGCACCUCACGCAGUGCCCAGCCUGCUGGCAGCCAGAGCCCUGCAGAGCAGGACAGGCAGAACUACCACGCCCCACAGAGGGAAGACUAGCAUCCUUCAUUCCAGACAAAAGGAACUACAGAAACUUAUCAGACCACCUGAGAGCAAAGAGAUUCCUGUGUGAAAACGUGUUAGUCGCUUCAGCUGUGCCCGAUUCCUUGUGACCCCACGGACUUCAUACCGAAUUAUAAUUUGUACAUUCUUUCAUGAAAUAAAAUUAUGCGUCCAAUUUUCUGAUAGUGAUUAUAAAUAAAUGCUAAAAUUUAUAAAAUAACUUUUAGAAAAGACCUCUU